rnacentral:rRNA from 1 species
GAUGAACGCUGGCGGCAUGCCUAACACAUGCAAGUCGAACGGAGUUAUUAGACGGAAGCCUUCGGGUGGAAGAUUAAUAACUUAGUGGCGGACGGGUGAGUAACGCGUGAGUAACCUGCCUCUCAGAGGGGGAUAACGUUCUGAAAAGAACGCUAAUACCGCAUAUAAUCAAGAAACCGCAUGAUUUUUUGAUGAAAGGAGCAAUCCGCUGAGAGAUGGACUCGCGUCUGAUUAGCUAGAUGGUGGGGUAACGGCCUACCAUGGCGACGAUCAGUAGCCGGACUGAGAGGUUGAACGGCCACAUUGGGACUGAGACACGGCCCAGACUCCUACGGGAGCAGCAGUGGGGGAUAUUGCGCAAUGGGGGAAACCCUGACGCAGCAAUGCCGCGUGAAGGAAGAAGGUUUUCGGAUUGUAAACUUCUUUUGUAAGGACGAAGAAUGACGGUACUUAACGAAUAAGCUCCGGCUAACUAUGUG